UUUUGUGGAUACAGACUAACACGGUUACCCCUCUGAUACCGCAUACAUACAAAGCCCUAUUGCACACAGAGGGCAAUGCAGCUGUUUGCUGUUCUGUGUGAGGUGACUAUCAACACCUAGCCUCCCACUAUCAUUCUGUAAAACAUCAAGAGCUGAUUACAGAAAUGCCUGUUGCUGACUGGCUGCAGUUUUUUUGAGACAGAACAAAAAGCCUGUCCCAAAGAGCUUAGUCUUCUAGACCCAAAAUAUUUCUUAAAAUAUCACAAAAUUGCCUUACAAAGCAUGGUUUUAAAAAUAUAUAAGUUUGGGGGUUAUUUGUUUCCCCUGGGAUUUUUGAGCCUUUAUGACACAUUCAGGUUAUACAGUCAAGCUCUCCUCCACAAUCGUGAGGGCUAGAAACUUUUUAAUCUUAAAAUACAAAUAAACUGAGAUUUGCAAUCAUUUGACUCCAGGAGCUGGGGCUUUAAGUAGCAUACCAGAGAGCUGGCAACUUUGCAAGGAAUGGCUUCCACCACCAUCAUGUUUCCACGCUGGGCACAGCCUGAAAAUUCAGUAAUGUUCCUGGGGGUGUCCACGCCCCCCCCGCUAAGAUGGCUGCUGUGACUGGCCCUCACUACUUCCCGGACCAUGCUUCCCCUAACGUGCCUGGAGCCGUGGCUGCCAUGGUGUGAUGUGUCUCCCAGCAGCUUUGACACCUGGCCGUAUCCGCUCCUUGCCUGGCGGGGUAGAUCCCCUCCCUUAGCAGCGCUGAGGUAUUAUAUUACCCCGCAGGCUCGCUCCUGGCUCCUCCCAGGAAGCGUCCUUUGCCCUCCCAGUCUCCAAGCAGGAAGCUGCAAUCUGCCGUGUGAGUGAGAUCUGCGGGGCUACAGCGCAUCCUCUCUCCCAGAGGCGAGCCGGGACUGGAGGCUGCAAUCCCUGUCGGCGUGUUCUUGCAGGAUGGGACUUCUGAGAGUGGCACAGCGACCUGCAAACUGGCCCCUGUGACCUUUCCAGAGUGGGAAUUCAUCCAGAACCCAGCUGAAAAAAUGAGGGACGUUUCUCUCGCCCCCCUCCCCGCGCCUUUCCCUUUAUUACCCUUCCUCCACGGUGCUCCCAAGGAUGCCACCCUGUUUCU